GUCGAGAAUAAUUCACAAUGGGGGCAACCCUGAUGGUGCAACGCCGCGUGGAGGAUGAAGGUCUUCGGAUUGUAAACUCCUGUCAUCCGGGAGCAAGACCUGGCCGUGAAUAGCGGACAGGGUUGAUAGUACCGGAAGAGGAAGGGACGGCUAACUUCGUGCCAGCAGCCGCGGUAAUACGAAGGUCCCGAGCGUUGUUCGGAAUCACUGGGCGUAAAGGGAGCGUAGGCGGCGCGGUAAGUCAGAUGUGAAAUCCUAGGGCUCAACCCUGGAACUGCAUCCGAUACUGCUGUGCUUGAGCAAUGGAGAGGUAGCCGGAAUUCUCGGUGUAGCAGUGAAAUGCGUAGAUAUCGAGAGGAACACUCGUGGCGAAAGCGGGCUACUGGACAUUUGCUGACGCUGAGGCUCGAAGGCCGGGGGAGCGAAAGGGAUUAGAUACCCUAGUAGUCC
rnacentral:rRNA from 1 species